rnacentral:rRNA from 1 species
CGUGAGACAGUUCGGUCCCUAUCUGUCGUGGGCGCAGGAUAUUUGAGGAGAGCUGUCCUUAGUACGAGAGGACCGGGAUGGACGCACCUCUGGCGCACCAGUUAUCAUGCCAAUGGUACAGCUGGGCAACUAAGUGCGGAUCGGAUAAACGCUGAAAGCAUCUAAGCGUGAAGCCGCCUCCAAGAUUAGAUAUCCCAUGGCGUAAGCCAGUAAGGCCCCUUGUAGACUACAAGGUUGAUAGGCUGCGUGUGUAAGCAUGGUAACAUGUUCAGCUUGGCAGUACUAAUAGGCCGAGGGCUUGACCAU